rnacentral:lncRNA from 1 species
UUUUUUUUUUUUUUUUUUUAGUGCUCUCAUAUUUGCUAAUACUAUGUGAUGGUUCAGACACAUAAUGUUUUUGGCUCCAGUUCUAGAAUCAGCUAUUUCUCCAAGGAUCCCUAUAUCCUUUUGAUUAAAAAUGGCAUUAGAAAUGAAGAUUUGAGCACUAGAUGUGCUUGCUGCUGCUGGGUGAGGUUGCUUCUAGGCCUUGUGAAGCUUUUGGAAGGAGAUAUAUGUUUGUCUAAUCCAUGUAUACACAAAUACCUAUCUAUAGCUAUUGUAAGCCACACAUAAGUUCACACUAACAUCUGCAAUUCUAACCUAAUACUACAUGGACCAUUCUAGCCUCCUCCCCAUUGUCUAUGGGUAACCUCCAACUCCAUCAAUGAGAAGUGACUCCCCAUUGCCAUCUACUUACUUGCUGGUUGAAUUCCAGUACACAUGCACAAAGGUUUCAGAUUUGUGCAUUAUCGAUGGGAAUGUGGUGCAUAUAUGGUCCUUUUUGCCUUUUGUCUAAAAGUCUUCACUCAUUUCCAAAGUUGCUUAGCUCAGUACUUUUCCUUCAACUUCUUAGUGAGGAUAUUUCAAGUAUUCUUAAUACCAUUGGACAUUUUUGUCAUAGUCAACAUUCCAUCAUGGAAUCUCCUGAUUAUGUGAUAAUCUCCUAAAUGAUUUUUUAAAAAAUUUGCGUCAAUUGAGGCUCAUUCAAUUUGCAUAGAGUUAUAUGGAUUUUGAAAAAAAAAUGCAUAUUAUCAUGACUUUAACAUUAAGAUAUGCAGAAAAAUUUCUCUGUCCUAUAAACUGCUCCUCCAAGACUCACUUAUUAAUAUCUCAUCCCUUCCCAAAUCCUGGCAACAACUGAUCCAUUGAUCAUCCUUAUAGUUUUACAUUUUCCACAAUGUCAUAUAAAUGGACUCAUAACAUGUAUGUAACUUUUUAAGACUGGUUUCUUUCAUUUAGCAGUAUACAUUUAAGAUUCAUCCAUGCUUUUACAUGGCUUGGUAGCUUAUUUCUUUUUAUUGCUGAAUACUAUUUUAUUAUAUGAGUGAAACAUAGUUUUCUUACCCAUUCACUUACUGAAGGACAUUUUGGAUGCUUCUAGUUUGAGGAAAUUUGGAAUAAAGUUAUAAUUAACACUCAAUUCCAGAUUUUCAUGUAUGUGUGGACAUGAGAUUUCAAAUCAUUAGAUAAAUACCUAGAAGGUUAAUGAGUAUCAUAUGAUCAGACUAUGUUUAGUGUAUUAGUUUUCUACAGGUACCAUAACAAAGAAUUACAAAGUAAGGGGCUUAAACAACAAAUAUUUACUGCGUCACAAUUACGGAGUCUACAAAUCAUUGUUACAGUGUUGCAUGGGUGGUUUCUUCUGAAAGCUGUGAGGUAGAGUCUACUGCAUAUUUCUCUCCUAUAUUCUGAUAGUUUGCUGGUAAUCUUUGGCAUUCCUUGGCAUGUAGAAGCAUGACCUGAUCUUUUCUUCUAUCUCUGCAUGGUACUCUGUGUGUGUGCGUGUAUGUCUCCAAAUCACCUUUUUUUUUAAGAUUUAUUACUUUUUUUCAAAGAUUUUAUUUAUUUACUUAUGACAGACACAGAGAGGGAGAGAGAGAGAGAGAGAGAGAGAGGGAGGCAGAGACACAGGCAGAGGGAGAAGCAGGCUCCAUGCAGGGAGCCCUACAUGGGACUCGAGCCCGGAUCUCCCGGAUGACACCCCCCAGCUGAAGGCAGCGCUAAACCGCUGAGCCACCAGGACUGCCCCCAAAUCACCUUUUUAUAAGGAUACUGGUCAUAUUAGAUCAGGGGCCCAUACUACUCCGGUAUAACAGUAUAAUCAAAUCUGUAAUGACACUAUUUUCAAAGAGUAUUCGUAUUCUGAAGUACUGGGAUUUAGAACCUCAACAUAUUCAGGGGCAACGGUGAGGACAAAAUCCAUAACAUUUAGGAUUUUUGUAUAAAUCAGCAAAUUAUCUUCCCAAGUGGCCAUACCAUUUUACAUUUCCAUCAGAAAUUAGAAAAGUCCUGGUUGCAUUAUAUUCUUGCCAGCAGUUGGUAUUACUAGUUUUUGGUUUUGUUUUGAUAAUGCUGUUGUUAUUUGUAAUUCUGCCAUUCUAAUAGAUAUGUAGUUGUAACUCAUUGUUUUUGUCUUUCUCUAAUGACAAAUUAUGUUGAGCCUCUUUUCAUAUAAUUAUUUGCCAUCUAUAUAUCUUCUUUGAUGAGGUGUCUCUUUAGGUCUUUUUCCCAUUUUGAAAUUCUUGUCAUUUGUUCUCUUAUUGUUGAGUUUUAAGUAGUCUUUGUAUAUUGUAGGUAAAUGUCCUUUAUCAGAUAUGUGGUUAGUAAAUGUUUUCUGCCUAUUGAUGAAUUGUCUUUUCAUUCUCUUAACAACGUUUUUGCAGGGCAAAAGUUUUAAAUUUUAAAACAUGCAAAUUGUCAGUUUUUUUCUUUAAUGGAUUUGCUUUUGGUGUUUUAUGUAAAAACUCAUCAAAUCCAAGGUCACAUGGAUUUUUUUCCCUACAGUCCUACAGUUUCAUAGUUUUACAGUUUUCUCCUAUAGCUUCCUAGGAUUUUUAAAAAUAUUUUAUUUAUUUAUUCAUGAGAGAGACAGAGAGAGACACAGAGACAUAGGCAGAGGGAGAAGUAGGUUCCCUGUGAGGAGCCUGAUGUGGGACUUGAUCCUGGGACCCCAGGAUCAUGCCCUGAGCGAAUGGCAGAUGCUCAACCACCCAGGUGCCCCACUUACUGGGAUUUUUUAUCUGAAUUAUGUUGAAUCUAUAGAUCAAAUUGGGAAGAACUGGCAUAUUAAAAAUAGUAAUUCUUCUAAUUCAUGAGCAUGGAAUAUUUAUUCCAUUUAUUUAUAUCUUCCUUGAAUAAAGAUACUUUUAUUUUACCCUUUCCCAUCUGUAUACAAUUUAUUUAUUUUUCUUGUCUUCCAGGAUGAUAAUGAAUAGCACUCGUGAAAGAGAGGACAUCUUUGCCUUUAUUCCAAUCUUAGAGGGAAAGAGUUUGGUUUUAACCAUCAAAUAUUGUUGUAGGUUAUUUUCCAUAUAUUCACUUGAGUUGAGUAAAGCCAUUCUCUUUCACUCCUGGUUGUUAUUGUUUUGCUGUGGUUUUGUUUUUGAGAGCUGUACUAUGAAUUGAUAUCUAAUUUCAUUAAACACUCUUACUGCUCCUAAUGAUAUGAUAUAUUUUUAAAACUUAAUUUUUUGUUUAAUGUUCAAACAAUGAAGAUAUUCUUAAAAUCAGGAACAGUAUAAAGUUGCUCACUAUUAUCAUUUCUAUUCAAUAUUACUUGAAAUAUCUCCAUACAAUUCUAUACAUCUCAACAAGCAUGUAAAAAAUGUUUUUUCAGUAGCUUAUUCAUAAUACCAGCACCCUAUUAUCUAGAAGUCAAUCAAUCAAAAGAUUUCCUAAUUUUUAUUUUGAGAAUAUUUUAAGACAUUGUUUAGUUUCAACUUAGUUAAUAAAUGGAAAGAUGAUGGGUUUAUAGCUAGGGAGAUUUACUAUAUUAAAGAUGUCAAUGGUCUCCAAAUUAGACUAUACAUUUAAUAUUAUCGGUCAAAAUCCUGAAAUAUUACUUUGUGAAGAUUUACCAGCCAAUCCUAAAGUUCAUAUUCCAAGAGUAAAAGAACAAGAAAGUUCCAUUUUCUGUAAUGGCAGAAUUGAUAAUUCUGAAAACCUCAUUGAAAACAAUUAGAGUAUUAGUCAAAAUGUACUUUAAAAUUCUGUUUGGCACUAUGCUUAAAGAAAGAAGCCAGACACUAGAGUAUGUGUACUAUAUGAUUCCAUUUUUAUAAAGUUCUAGAAAAGAUGAAGGUAAUCUAUAGGGAGAAAACAGAUUAGUAUUGCUUGGGACCAGAGACAAGGGGUUGUUGAGUGCAGAAAACAUGCAGGAAGUUUUUAUUAUGAUAAUAAUGUUUCAUAUCUUGAUUAUGAUGAUUGCUAUACAAGUAUAUACUAGUAUAUUAUAAGUAAUCAAACUAUGCAGUAUCUUAUAUGUAGAUUAUCCCUCAAUAGUUUUUUUUUAAAAUCUAUUUGAAAGUAUCAGAGGGUUAACAAGACAGUAAACAAGAUAGUACCCACUAAAGACAAGGGUCUUGGGAAAGGAAGAGAUACAGUAAAGUUUUUGGAGAAACUAUUCCUGAGUUGCCAUUUGCCACCUCCAGAGAAGGAAGCCAAAAGAGGAUGAACUGACAGCCUCAUAGAAGCUAGAAAGACAAGGACUGAUAGAGGGCCAAAAAGGAGACGAGAGCUAGUAAAUUUCUUUUGCUUGGCAUUAGUAACUGCAUUGGCUAUGUCACAUACAUAAGUGUGAAUCAGAAGUAGACAAGACCUGGGGACACCUGGGUGGCUUAGGGGUUGAGCAUCUGCCUUUGGCUCAGGUUGUGAUCCUGGGGUUCUAGGAUCCAGUCCCAUAUCAAGCUCCCCACAGGGAGCCUACUUCUCCCUCUGCUUAUGUCUCUGCCUCUCUUGUGUCUCUCAUGAAUAAAUAAAUAAAAUCAAGGAAGAAGAAGAAGAAGAAGAAGAAGAAGAAGAAGAAGAAGAAGAAGAAGAAGAAGAAGAAGAAGAAGAAGAAGAAGAAGGGGGAGGAGAAGGGGGAGGAGGAGGAGGAGGAGGAGGAGGAGGAGGAGACGACAAGAACUUUCUGGCGAUGCAGUUCAGCUUUAAGCCAUAUCAGUCCUGGGAAUUAGCCAAAAGUGAGACCAGAUUGCACUCCCAGCUACUUGGUUAAAGUAAAUAUGAACCUUCUAUGGUGGGAGAUAUUAUUGUAAGCCUCAAAUUAUUUUUAUUUAUUUUUAUUUUUUUCAAAUUAUUUUUAGUAACAAUUUUGCAAACACAACAUCCAACACAUGAUAAAUAAUAACCCAGCAACCAAAGUCAUCAAAAACAUGGAAAGUCUGAGAAACUUACACAUACUAGAAGAGUCUAAGGAAACAUAGUAACUAAAUGCAACUUGAUAUUUUAGAUGGGCUCCUAAAAAAGAAAAAGAAUAGUAGUGCAAAACUGUUGAUACAGAAAUAGAAUGUAGAAUUGGUUAUAUGCCAAUGUUGGCUCAUUUUGUCACAAAUGUACCAUACUAAAAGAAGACAUUAACAAUAGGAAAAUGGCAAGGGAUAUAAAGGAACUUUCUACACUGGAUUAGCAACUUUUCUGUCAAUUUAAAACCACUUAAACUAAAACAUUUACAAAAAAUUUCACAUGAAGAGACAAGACCAGUUAAAAAGAAACAGGAGCAAUGACUACUCAAUAGAAAUAGAUAAAUGGUCUCAAGAAAUUGAAGUUAACAGUAAUAGCCUUUAAAAUGACUAUAUAUAUUAUUAAAGACAGACAGACACAGGGAGAGAGAUAGAGUGAAUCUCAAGCAAGCUCUGUGCCAGCACAGAGCCCAAUGCGGGGCUCAAUCUUACCACCCUAAGAUCAUGACCUGAGCCAAAAUCAAGAGUCAGGCACUUAACCUACUGAGCCACGCAAGUGCCCCCAAAAUGACUAUAGUGAAUGUGUUCAAAGGAGAUUAAAAACAAUAGUGGGAUGUUGGCAAAAAGUAUACACUUUUUAAAACGUUUUUAUUUAUUCAUGAGAGACACUGAGAGAAGAGAAAGAAAGAGACAGAGACACAGGCAUAGGGCGAAGCAUCCAGGGACCCCGAUGUGAGACCCGAUGUGGGACUCAAUCCCAGAACUCCAGGAUCACCCCCAGAGCCAGAGGCAGGCACUAAACCCCUGAGCCACCCAGGGAUCCCCAAAUAAACACUUAAAAAAACAGACAAAAGACUAAAGCUAAAAAAUUUUUAAACAUUUAAGCUCAAAACUUAAAUUAAUGAAUUCAAUGGAUGAGGCUUCUUCCUUUAUCUUUGACAUGUAAAGAGGUUGGUAGUCACAUUCCUGUCCCUCCCUAUAAGCAAGAGAAUACAAGCAAACUGCCAAAUCAAAAUCUGGAGUCAUGCAUAGCCAGAGAGAAACUUGCUUGCUUUAAAACAGAAGCUGCUAGACACCCUAAACUAGUAGGAUCACUGACCUAUCCAGCAGUUUACUCAGUUUCUGGAGGCUGAAUGAGGACUAACUUGAGAACAAGAAAUUCCUGGGUCACAUUCAUAGAAAUAUCCCCAUACACUUAUCGACUCUUUCCCUCAAAGAACCACAACAGGUUCCCAAAGUGAAGAUAUAAGAAAAAUUCCCUUGUAGUCAUGGAAAAAGAAAGUCAUUGAUAAUCUCUUCUCCCUAACAAAGACUGACUUCCCUGGGGAAACCUCAUUCCAGCAACAGCAAGGAAAGUCCAAUCCACUCUAAUCUGCCCUAGGCUUUCUGUCUCAUCUACCAAAAAAAAAAAAAAAAAAA